UUUUAGAGUAUAUUUCACCACGCUACUCCAAUGUAGGUUAGUGGAUACGCUUGUGGCAUAUUAUCCGACACUUCCGAGCACGAGAUGAAUUAUUAACACUCUUUAUUAUUAUUCUGAAAACUCAAUGUUUAAGACAUUGAGCAAUCUCGAAUCUCUGUAUGACACGAGUUGCAAUGCAAUAUUUUUGGAAGCAAUUAUCCGACGUUUUUCCAGCGAAACAUUUUGGGUAGAGAAAAGGACAUACCGGGAAAACGAAUGAGGCGCUAUGCGCACCUUCUCCCUCCGCAUUUAGUGGGCAUUCCGAUGUUCGGGGUGCACUCGAUGCCUCGGAUAUCAGCGACUCCAUAUACCCCCACUGUUCCUAUGGGGGAAACGCGUAAUGCUCUUUUCCAGAAAAAAAGGACAUACUAACCUAAUACCUCCCCUCUUACACGCGGACAAAGCCACAGGCGGAAACUAGGUUGGAAUAAAUAAAACGAAGUAUUCUUUCUCUUA